GCGCUGCCGCCGCGCCAGCUGUCCGCCGCCGCGGACCUCGCCGGGCCCAGAUCGUCGAGCCCGGUCCGCGCAUCACGGCAGGCGUCCGUAGGCGCGCCCUUCGCGGCGUCGAACCCGUUCACGACGCCGCGCCACGCCGAGUUUGUCAUCCCGCAGAGAAACAACGUGCGCCGCUCCUCCACCACAGACAGAAACUAAACCACUUGCGCUCACUACGAGACACGAGAGUACAUUGGGUAAUUGACACUUAACCAAUAUUCGCAAACACUAUUGUUUUAACUCAACUACUCCUAUGCUAA